CAACAGGGAUUGCCUUAGUAACUGCGAGUGAAGCGGCAAAAGCUCAAAUUUGAAAUCUGACGCCUUCGGCGUUCGAGUUGUAAUUUGGAGGGAUGUCUUCGGGGGUGGCGCCGUCCUAAGUUCCUUGGAACAGGACGUCAUAGAGGGUGAGAAUCCCGUGCCUGGAUGGCUGCCCGUCCCCAUGUGAAGUGUCUCCGACGAGUCGAGUUGUUUGGGAAUGCAGCUCAAAAUGGGUGGUAAAUUUCAUCUAAAGCUAAAUAUUGGCGAGAGACCGAUAGCGCACAAGUAGAGUGAUCGAAAGAUGAAAAGCACUUUGAAAAGAGAGUUAAAAAGUACGUGAAAUUGUUGAAAGGGAAGCGCUUGCGACCAGACUCGAUCUUUGGUGAUCAGCCGGGCUUCUGUCCGGUGCCCUCGCCACUGAUCGGGCCAGCAUCGGUUCCGAGGGUGGGAUAAAAGGUGGGGGAAUGUGGCUUCCUUCGGGGAGUGUUAUAGCCUCCGUCAUAAUGCCACCACCCGGGACCGAGGACCGCGCUUCGGCUAGGAUGCUGGCGUAAUGGUCUUAAGCGACCCGUCUUGAAACACGGACCAAGGAGUCUAACAUCUAUGCGAGUGUUCGGGUGGAAAACCCUUGCGCGUAAUGAAAGUGAACGGAGGUGUGAACCCGCAAGGGUGCAACAUCGACCGGUCCUGAUGUCUUCGGAAGGAUCUGAGUAAGAGCAUAGCUGUUGGGACCCGAAAGAUGGUGAACUAUGCCUGAAUAGGGUGAAGCCAGAGGAAA
rnacentral:rRNA from 1 species